UGGAUGAGUCCUCUAAAGGUCAGGCUGGGAGAGCUUCCUGUAGGUAUCCUCUGGGACACCCUUCAAUGCCAGUGAGGAUGAUGUGACCCCCCCUGGACCAUAGCCAGGAGUGACAUAGCCAGUUUGGCCCCGGAGAAAAUCUGAUAACUUAGUCUUAUGUUGAAGAGCUGGAGAGGCAGGAGGAGCCCAUCAGUUAGGGGGACAGGCAGAGCAAGAAUCCAAGAGAAGCGCUUCACCGUGGUCCAGUUACCUUUGAACAUGAUAUCUGAUAGUGCCGGCUCUGGAUCUUUGAUCUCCUGAGAUAAUGGAAUUUGGCAGCCCUCAGCUAACUACCUUGCUGCUGACCUGGGACCACCUGAGUUAAUAGACCUUGGAUUUUUUUGGCUAAAAAUUUGGGGCUGCUCCAGGAAAUGACUUUGGAUCUCUUUGACAAGACUCUGGGUUAUUUUAGUUAAUUUCUUUGGACCUUUUUGGCUCAAGACAUUGGACCCCCUUGGCUAAUGAACUUGGACCUAUUUGGCCAAGGACCUUGAGCCACUAUAGUUUUUUUUUUUAAACUAAGGGCUUUGGACUACCUGCAUUUGGACCUUGAACUAAGGGCUAAGGGCCUUGGCCCAUCUAGCUAAUGACCUUGGAGUCCCUUGGCUAAGGAUCUGGGCCCACUUCAGUUAAUGACUUCAACUUUCCUUGACACUAAGAACUUUGAGCCAUCUCAACUAAUGACUGGUUGAACCUCUUUGGCUAAAGACUUUGAGUAACCUGGAUUAAUGACUAAGGAUUUUUGGCCACCAUGGCUAAUAUCAUUUUGGAUCUCUUUGGCUAAGGACCUUGGGGCUCUUUGUCUAAGAGCAUUGGUCCACCUCAGCUAAUGACAUUGGACCUUUCGGGUUGAGGACUUUGGGCCAAACAGCCAAUGCUUUGGAUCUCUUUGGUCUUAAGAUCUUUGUGCUACCUCAUAUAUUGAUUUUGGACUUAUUGUGGCUAAGGACCUUGGGUCACCACAGCUAAUGACCUGAGAUCUUCUUGGUCAAGGAUUUUGGACGAUCUCAUCUUGGACCCUGGAUCUCUUUGGCUAAGGACCUCAGGUCACCACAUCUCAUGAACUUGGAUUUCUUGGGUUAAUAUGUUUGGUAUUUUUCACAAAUAAAGACCACCUUGUUUGUAUCA
ensembl:lncRNA